rnacentral:lncRNA from 1 species
CAUCAUUAAAAAAUUAUACCAUUUUUUUUGCGUCGUACACACAAAAAUAAUGGAUAUAGGAGUAAGCACAGACACCGAUUUUGUCUUAAAUUUUAGUACUCUAAAAGAGGAGUUGAACAACUUUAGAACGUACAAACAAACAUUUCAUACAUAUGAUGUACUAUAUAAUGAUAAAGACAUUGAGAUAGAAAAACUAAAUGAGUACGAGGAAAGAUUUAAUAAGUUAAGUAAAUGUAUAACACAUUUUGAUAAUAUUCAUAAUAAAUUAAAAAAUUUGAAUAAAUUAAAUAAUAACAUAAAAGAACAAUUUGAAGAGAGUAGUAAAAUUCCAAGUGGAAUUUUAAUCCAAAUUGAGAAUUUAAAGAAAGAUACUAUUGCUAUUAAAAAAAAAGAAAAAAUAUAUGAUCAUAUUUUAGAAGCGUAUACUUUAAGUCCAAUAUGUUAUAAAAAUUUAACCGAUAUUAAAAUUUCAUUAAAUGUUGAGUUUUUUGAACAUUUAAAACAGUUUGAAUCUAUUAAAAAAAAUAUUUUAAAAUUAUUAAAUGAAAACCCGUCUGAUAAAAUAACUAAAUUUUACUUAAAACAUUUUCAAAAAAUAGUGAAUAAAGCUUGUAAAAAAAUGUGUUUAUUCGUUAUUAAGGAGGACAGAAAUAUAUAUGAAAAAUAUGUAACAUCAGUAGCAAACGCAGGUAAAAAUAGACACACGGGAAAUAUUUACAAUGUAAGCAACAAAAACAACAAUAGUAUCAAAAAAAAUAGAAGCAAAAUAAUUAUUAACCUAUUACUAUGUAGCUGCGAUGCCGAAACUGAAAAAAGGAAAAAUAUUAUAAAAAAAUGUAUAAAUAAUUUUUCAAAUAUAAAAAAAUUAUGCUACAAAGUAAUAAUUGAAAAUGUAGAAUACUUUAAUAUUUGUUUAAGUAAUUUUAUAUUUUUUCGAAAAAAACUAUUAAGAAUCAAUUAUAAUUAUUUUUUAUAUAAUAUUAAUUAUAAUACAAUUAUAAAAAAAAGUAAAUUCUUAGAAAAUGAUGAUAUUAGUAUUAUAAAAGAUGAAUCUGUACUAAAUUUAAAAAAUUUUUUUUUGAUCAUUUAUUACUUAAUAAUAUUAGAAGAUACAUUUUUUAAAAUCUUUUUAUUAUUUCAUUUUUAUUACAAUAACAAUAAUUUAUCAUAUAUAUAUGCAAACAUGGAAAAUAUGCAUAACAAUUUAUA